GACGUAGGGCGCGAGCGUUGUCCGGAUUUAUUGGGCGUAAAGAGCUCGUAGGUGGUUUGUCGCGUUGUUCGUGAAAACUCACAGCUCAACUGUGGGCGUGCGGGCGAUACGGGGCAGACUAGAGUACUGCAGGGGAGACUGGAAUUCCUGGUGUAGCGGUGGAAUGCGCAGAUAUCAGGAGGAACACCGGUGGCGAAGGCGGGGUCUCUGGGCAGUAACUGACGCUGAGGAGCGAAAAGCGUGGGGGGAGCGAAACAGGG
rnacentral:rRNA from 1 species